UACGAAGGGGGCUGCGUUGCUCGGAAUUACUGGGCGUAAAGGGCGCGUAGGCGGCACUGUUAGUCAGGCGUGAAAUUCCUGGGCUCAACCUGGGGACUGCGCUUGAUACGGCAGAGCUUGAGGAUGGAAGAGGGUCGCGGAAUUCCCAGUGUAGAGGUGGAAUUCGUAGAUAUUAGGAAGAACACCAGUGGCGAAGGCGGCUCACUGGUCCGGUACUGACGCUGAGGUGCGAAAGCGUGGGGAGCAAACAGG
rnacentral:rRNA from 1 species